AAGCAAAUUUAACAAUAUUUUACUUAUUCCACAAGACAAAGAUGGGGCAUUACCCUUGCUUUGGACCUUAAGGCACGCUUUGGCAGGCCAAUCCUGGUGGAAGACAAUGUCAAGUGGAGAGUUUGGUUGUUGCAGCACAUCUAUUAAAAGUUAAUGCAGGUAUCCUAAGAAGAGAUCAACGAGAACAAAAAACAUGUGUAGUACAAAAGGGUAAAAGUUCAGUACUAAGUAGUUGUGCAUUCUCUAGCUUGCAAACUUAUGUGAAUUGCCUCACCCAAAGUUGUCA
rnacentral:ncRNA from 1 species